CCGGAGAGAUGGAAUUUUGUCCUGUUUUAGGGGGAGGGAUCUGUCAUUCAUUCCUGACUGUCCUUGGCUUCACCCUUUAUAAAAGAAAGGAAAUAUAAGACCUCUUAAAGGAGACAUGUGCAUCCAGAACCUUCUGGAACCAGCAGGACCCCUCAGACUCCCUAGUAUCACUUAGGCUCACCGACUUGCAUCCAACCUCCUCCCUGGGAGAUUUUAUCUACUUCAGAACACAAUCUGUAUGGACAUCUGAGAAUUCCUAAUGGGUGGAAGUCCUGCUCCCAUCACACCUGUUCACAGAGGGCGGAGAGAGGGAGACAUCUGGGUCCAGGAGAACUUUUUGUAUCAGUGCAGAGGGACUGUCCCUAGUCACAUGUCGUCUAUUAUAGACGGAGAUCAUUCUGUCUGAGGUUCUGCCCUGACCUCGCCUUGGAGCCUGUGGCAAACUCAAAGUUGUCAGUGGAUACAACAUUGCCCUCCAACCCCCUCACUGACAUCUGUGUAAGAUGCCAGCUCUCAGAGAAGGAGCUGAAGAGACGCUAUCUCUCUCACUAGUUUCCUCAACUGGUUGAGCACUUUGCCUCCUAUCUCCUGUCCCCACAACAAUUGGAGGGUGUUGGGUGGAAGAGAGGUUUUCUUCCAUAAAAUCCCCCUCUUUUCUUUCAGGUUUUCUGGUCUUGUGCCUAAAGUGUCCACUUACAAGCUGAAGUGUGUAGAACAGUCUCUACAACCUGGGUGUUCUCUGGUUUAGCUGUCAAGUGGGGAGUGUCCACACGUGGCGGGAAGAGAAAAGCCACCCCUUCCCGUGUUCCUUCAGAAUAGGUAGCAUUGUUAAUUUAUGCUAUUGAGGGUUAAAAGCAUGAGGCCCAAUAUUGGGAUAAAAUAUAUUAACACGUAUUUUGACAACACACAUACUUUAUAAUCUGAAUUCCAAAAGUAGAGUGAAAAAUAUAAGGACAAUGAAAAAAACAGGCAUAUCUGUUUAGAGAUGCAAUGUAAAGGUAGAGUUUUAUAACGUUCUCAUGGAAACCAGGGAUGCCUGGACGGCUCAGUCGGUUAAGCCUUUGACUUUGGCUCAGAUCAUGAUUUCAGGGUCCUAGGAUCCAUCCCAAGUGAAGUCAGGCUCCCCACAUCAGAGGGAGUCUGCUUGUCCCUCUUCUUCAACCCCUCCCCCUGCUUGUGCUCUUCCUCUCUCUCCCAAAUAAAUAAAUAAUGUCUUUAAAA